GCCAAAAUAGUUCAACUGGGAGAGCUUUAGACUGAACAUCUAAAAGUCCCUGGUUUGAUCUGGAGUUUUGGUA
rnacentral:tRNA from 1 species